AACAGCUCAAAUUUGAAAUCUGGCCUCACGGUCCGAGUUGUAAUUUGUAGAGGAUGUUUCGAGCAUGGUCCGGUCUAAGUUCCUUGGAACAGGACGUCAUAGAGGGUGAGAAUCCCGUAUGCGACUGGGUGCCUAAGCUCAUGUGAAACUCCUUCGGCGAGUCGAGUUGUUUGGGAAUGCAGCUCAAAAUGGGUGGUAAAUUUCAUCUAAAGCUAAAUAUUGGCCAGAGACCGAUAGCGCACAAGUAGAGUGAUCGAAAGAUGAAAAGCACUUUGGAAAGAGAGUUAAACAGUACGUGAAAUUGUUGAAAGGGAAGCGCUUGCAACCAGACUUGCACGCAGCCGAUCAUCCGGUAUUCUUACCGGUGCACUUGGUUGUGUUCAGGCCAGCAUCGGUUUUGGUGGCUGGAUAAAGGCCUUGGGAAUGUAGCUUCUCUCGGGGAGUGUUAUAGCCCUCGGUGCAAUGCAGCCUACCGGGACCGAGGACCGCGCUUCGGCUAGGAUGCUGGCGUAAUGGUUGUAAGCGACCCGUCUUGAAACACGGACCAAGGAGUCUAACAUCUAUGCGAGUGUUUGGGUGUCAAACCCAUACGCGUAAUGAAAGUGAACGGAGGUGAGAACCCUUAAGGGUGCAUCAUCGACCGAUCCUGAUGUCUUCGGAUGGAUUUGAGUAAGAGCAUAGCUGUUGGGACCCGAAAGAUGGUGAACUAUGCCUGAAUAGGGUGAAGCCAGAGGAAACUCUGGUGGAGGCUCGCAGCGGUUCUGACGUGCAAAUCGAUCGUCAAAUUUGGGUANNNGAAACGCUCUUCACCUAUUCUCAAACUUUAAAUAUGUAAGAAGUCCUUGUUACUUAAUUGAACGUGGACAUUCGAAUGUACCAACACUAGUGGGCCAUUUUUGGUAAGCAGAACUGGCGAUGCGGGAUGAACCGAACGCGAGGUUAAGGUCAAAAGGUGUUGAUUCAUCUAGACAGCCGGACGGUGGCCAUGGAAGUCGGAAACCGCUAAGGAGGUGUAACAACUCACCGGCCGAAUGAAUCAGCCCUGAAAAUGGAUGGCGCUCAAGCGUGCUACCCAUACCUCGCCGCCA
rnacentral:rRNA from 1 species